UUGAUUGAGGUUAGGGUUUAACAUAUAGAUUGGGUUUUGGAGUUGUUGAAGUUGUUGGUUUCAGUUUGGAGAAAUGACUCAUUUUUAUACAACAAAACAGCUACUGAUGGUGUGUAAUCUUCUAGAGAAUGUUUCUAGGGGGUCAAAGGAAUGAUGUUGGAGAUUUUGAUUGAGGUUAGGGUUUACACUAGAAUGGGGGAGUUCUGCUUGGAUUAAUGCUGGAAAAACUAAAUCUGGCUAAACUUUGGACGCCAAAAUGAACAGAACCUCUGAUUCUAAGUGCAAUGAGUAAUCUAAGUAUGAUGGCGUUUGCCUGAAGGUGGAAUUGGUCCUGUUAUUUUGGGUACAUGAUUUCACCUCAUUUACAUCAAAUUCGGGCAUGGGAUUCCAAAAUCCUAGGUUUGUUGCAGUCGCUUCAGAGUUAUUAAAUUUCUGCGAAUAUCUUAAGGUCAGCUGAAUAAAGGGUAAAUGUUGUUCUUUGGGAUUGAUUUUAGUCCUUAGUGAAGCUGGCAUGUUAUCCCUGUGGCGUUCUCUUUGAGGCCAUUGCCGCUGCUAAAGAUUUCUCCAAGAGAAGUAGGCAAUCUAUACAGCGUAUAACAUUCUACCACUGGGUGCGGCUGGUGGCUGGGGCAUCUCAAUGUAUUAUGCAGGAGCACAAGCCUGAACUCCUUAAUAAGGGUGAGGUUUGUGCAAGGGCUAGAGUGUUCUUGGUACCGGUUAUUAUCUUGACAUGGAUCGGCUGAGUUGGCUGUGAAAGAAGAGAUCUUCUUCAGAUAAGCAUCCUGGUGAAACAGAAAGUCAGGAUCUUCUUAUUUUAAAAGGUACUCUGAUGAACAGCAGGAACAAUCAAAAGCAUCUCCCAUGGACAAUAUGCAAUCCCCAGAGGUCAUGUCGAAAUCUGCAACCAGUGUUAAAGAGGUUAAUUGACAAUAUGAGGAAUCUGACAGAAAAACUUUCUGCAGCUCUCUUAAACAUCACCUCCAAAGAGGAUAUAGUAAAGCAACGUGCCAAAGUUGCAGAAGAAGCGGUUUCAGGUUGGAAUAAGGCAGAAGAUGCAGCGGUGGCCUUUAAGGAACAGCUUGAAACUGCAGCUCUGAAGAAUUCAGCGCUUGAAGAUCGGGUGGGUCAUCUCGAAGGGGAUCUGAAGGAGUGUGUCAGACAGCUUAGGCAAGCAAGAGACAAACAAGAACAGAAGUUUCAUGAAGCUGUCAUUCAGGUAAUGACAUGAGUUCUAAUCGAAUUUUCAUGCAAUCAAAACUAGUGCGCCUUAACCUAGUCCGACUUAUAGUAAUAACUGAAAGUCAGUGAGCUAUACAGUUCCUUUAAUGAUUUCACUCCCCUGAUAUAUCUGUGUUUAUGAUCAUUUUCUUUCUUCUGCUA